rnacentral:piRNA from 1 species
UUAGAUGACGACCACCGGGGCCU